rnacentral:tRNA from 1 species
GCCUAGGUGGCUCAGUUGGUUGAGCGUCUGACUGACUCAGGUCAUUCUGACUUCGACUCAGGUCAUGAUCUCACAGUCUGUGGGUUCGAGCCCCACGCUGGGGU